rnacentral:rRNA from 1 species
ACGCAAUAAGUAUUCCGCCUGGGGAGUACGACCGCAAGGUUGAAACUCAAAGGAAUUGACGGGUCCCCGCACAAGCAGCGGAGCAUGUGGUUUAAUUCGAAGCAACGCGAAGAACCUUACCAGGGCUUGACAUCCUCAGAAUUCUUAGGAAACUAGGGAGUGCCCUUCGGGGAACUGAGAGACAGGUGGUGCAUGGUUGUCGUCAGCUCGUGUCGUGAGAUGUUGGGUUAAGUCCCGCAACGAGCGCAACCCUUAUGUUCAGUUACCAGCGGGUAAAGCCGGGGACUCUGGACAGACUGCCGGGGAUAACUCGGAGGAAGGUGGGGACGACGUCAAAUCAUCAUGCUCCUUACGUCCUGGGCUACACACGUGCUACAAUGGCCGCAACAAAGGGAAGCCACCUCGCGAGAGGGAGCAA